GGGAGUAGGGUGUAGGGUGUAGAGAGUGAGGUGUAGAGAAUAGGGUGCAGGGAGUGGGGAGUAGAGAGUAAGGGUGUAUGGAGUAGGGUGUAGGGAGUAGGGUGUGUGGUGUAGGGAAUAAAGAGUAGGGGAGUAUGGAGUAGGGAGUAGAGCGUAAGGGAGUAUGGAGUAGGGGAGUAUGGAGUAGGGUGUAGGGAGUAUGGUGUAUGGUGUAGUGUGUAUGGUGUAUGGUGUAGGGAGUAUGGUGUAGGGUGUAGGGAGUAUGGUGUAGGGUAUAGGGUGUAGGGAGUAUGGUGUAGGGUGUAGGGAGUAUGGUGUAGGGUGUAUGGUGUAGGGUGUAGGGAGUAUGGUGUAUGGUGUAGUGAGUAUCGUGUAGGGUGUAGGGAGUAUCGUGUAGGGUGUAGGGAGUAUGGUGUAGGGAGUAUCGUGUAGGGUGUAGGGAGUAUCGUGUAGGGUGUAGGGAGUAUGUAGUAGGGUGUAGGGAGUAUGGUGUAGGGAGUAUGGUGUAGGGUGUAGGGGAUAUGGUGUAUGGUGUAUGGUGUAGGGAGUAGGGUGUAGGGAGUAUGGUGUAGGGAGUAUGGUGUAGGGUGUAGGGAGUAUGGUGUAGUGGGUAGGG
ensembl:lncRNA